rnacentral:rRNA from 1 species
UACGGGGGGAGCAAGCGUUGUUCGGAUUUACUGGGCGUAAAGGGCGCGUAGGCGGCCAGCGCAAGUCAGCUGUGAAAUCUCCGGGCUUAACUCGGAAAGGUCAACUGAUACUGCGCGGCUAGAGUGCAGAAGGGGCAACUGGAAUUCUCGGUGUAGCGGUGAAAUGCGUAGAUAUCGAGAGGAACACCUGCGGCGAAGGCGGGUUGCUGGGCUGACACUGACGCUGAUGCGCGAAAGCCAGGGGAGCGAACGGG